rnacentral:rRNA from 1 species
UACAGAGGUCCCGAGCGUUGUUCGGAUUUAUUGGGCGUAAAGGGUGCGUAGGCGGCGGAGUAAGUUGGGUGUGAAAUCCCGGGGCUUAACCUCGGAAUUGCAUUCAAUACUGCUUCGCUCGAGUACUGGAGAGGAGGCUGGAAUUUACGGUGUAGCAGUGAAAUGCGUAGAUAUCGUAAGGAAGGCCGGUGGCGAAAGCGAGCCUCUGGACAGUUACUGACGCUGAUGCACGAAAGCUAGGGUAGCGAACGGG